UUAUUGCUGCUGCAGAAAUCUACAAAGCUGACCUGCCCUUAGGUUGAAAGGAAUUUCCUAAAUUCAUGGAGAAUCAGCCCAAAAGGGGAGUUCCAAAACAAGUGGGAACAGCUUUCCUCUGACCUACUGUGCCUUCCGAUAGAAGAGGUUCUCCAAAAUAGUCUGAAAAUACAGCUCUAUCUAGAACUGCCUAGGAAUUUAAGGUUCCAAAUGAUUUGCUUCCCUCCAGAGCUGGGUCUAGCUCAGGAGGCAAGAUGCUAAAAGGAGGAGGCCAGCAGGAUCAACCACGGACAUUUUUUCCUCAUAUGUGCUCUGUUGGGGAUCAAAUCAUUGUAUGCUUCAUGACAUGUUCUGCACUUCUCAAGAUUGUGCUGGAAGCAGCGAUAGCACCAGAAAACAAAUGUUCAGAAUAUGCUCAAAAGGAGCUUUGCUAAGGGAAGAGGCAAUAAGCUAAGUUUCACAUGUUAAAUUUUUGAAACAGAAGUGGAUUUCACACUGACAUCAAGAGGUUCAUAGGUAUUUGGCUGGCUUCUAGAGUCACUGCAGGCUGGAGGAUGGCACCCUGUCAAUCACUGUCUAUACACCGAGAGGUGACUUGUCCUUUUCCUUCAGCUACAGAAUGUCUUGGGAUUGCCCUGCCUCCCUCAUUAGCCAAGUCUG